rnacentral:rRNA from 1 species
GAUGAACGCUAGCGACAGGCCUAACACAUGCAAGUCGAGGGAAAGUGUAGCAAUACAUGAAACCGGCGCACGGGUGAGUAACGCGUAUGUAACCUGCCUACAACAGGGGGAUAGCUUCCGGAAACGGAAAUUAACACCGCAUAAGACCACGGUAUAGCAUUUUACAGUGGUAAAAUCUGAGGAGGUUGUAGAUGGGCAUGCGUGACAUUAGGUAGUUGGUAGGGUAAUGGCCUACCAAGCCGACGAUGUCUAGGGGUUCUGAGAGGAAGGUCCCCCA